ACCAAAGAUGUUUUUGCUGGAUUGUCUUCUUUCUUUCUUUUUAUUUAUUUUUUUGGUACCGGGGAUCGAACUCAGGACCUUGUGCUUGCAAGGCCGGUACAGAGCCACUGAGCUACACCCGCGGCAACUGUUCUUCCUUCCAGUUAUCUCCACACGCACGUUUGUCACGUGGCCGGGCGAAGGGGUGGGCGGAACCUGGUGGGUGGGACGUCGCCACCUCCCCAGCGCCUGUGCGCACAGCCCCGCCCUGACAUGGGCUACCGCAGCGUGCAACCCCGACUAAGCGCUCAACGUGCACUGAUCCAAGAAGACAGACGCUGCGAUGCUGUCUCCAAAUGGCUUCUAAACCUGGGGUGUCGGAGGAGGACGCCCGACUUAGAGAAAAUCCUUGAAGCUCCCGAACUCACACAGACAUAAGUGAAGAAUAUCAGCGCCUUUUAAAGUCACAAGGGCCUUCCGAGGAAGGUGAAGAGCUGAGCCACGGGCCCCUUCGCUCCCGCAGCCACUCGGGGGGUCUGAGCAGGACACAGAGACUGGGAGGUGAGCUGGCCACAGUGGGCUCACCCUGCACUGCCUGAGAAGAACUGGGAGAGGACGCUGAGGCAGGGGAAUUAAGGAGGCAACGGGAGGGCGGAAGCGGCGAGACCGGAGCUGGUGAGACAAGGGCUUUCAGGCACCUUUGCAAAGCAGGAUGCAGUAUUUCGACCAGCGCCACUGCAGACACCGUGACACACUAGUGAGAGGCAAGAUCACUGCCUCUACUCGAUGGACAUUGCCGGUUCACCUUAAAGCACCCCAGGGCCGCAGGGAGGAAUCCGCUGUAGUCCUGUUUCCUCAACAGGCCUGCUCCGCUCUGCGCCUCCCUCUGAUGAGGAGCUCGUCGGCCCUGGGCCCUGUUCCACACGAUCGCUUCAGCUGCUGCUUCACACUGUUGGACUCCGCAGCUCCCAGGAGAAAUGCAGUGGCAGACACUUUCCUUCCUCUGGCCGCCCUGUUACGGUGCCAGGUCCUCUCCACCCUGUGAAGAGGCUCUCGGCUCCCUGUGUGAUUCGAAGCCAUGGGCUUGUCCCACAGACAUGGUUUGGCCCUAAGGCGGCCUCUGCAGCCUCAGAUGCCCACAGCAGGGCUCUGAGAGAACCCAUCGGGAAGACAAAGAAGGGGGAAAUAAAUGCCCCUUAUCAAACAAGAUACACGGCUGACCCUAACUUCCUGGGAAAGGAGAGGAUUAAGAUGCUCAGAGUGACUCACACACUCAGUUCCUCACAGAUUACACUCUGCUUUUGAUACCUGCGGAAAUGAGGAGCAGCAGGAGGGCUGACAGCAAGCAUGUAGGGCCCACGGCCAGGAGCUGGCUACUCUGUCACUACCGCCCCCUGUGAGACUCCUGACAGCUUCAUGCCUCGAGGUCACUGAGCAAGCUCCAGCGUCAACUCUGGAAGGGCGGACAGCGGGCUUGGGGUGAUGGGCUGAAGGCUCUUGUAUAGGCGGAAGAAAGGGGUCCAGGAGGCAGGAGAUUUAGAAAAGGAGCAGGCAGAUCUCACAAACAUGAACUACCAGCUUUGUAACCUUUUUCAGAUCUGAGCUUAAAUCUGACUCUGCAACAUUAUGGCUUCCAAGGGCUUCCAAAAACACAGCGAAUGUUUAAAUUUCUCAAAUUUAUUCCAAUAGAAGACAUACUGCCAUUAAUUCCCCUCCAAGUAUCCUCCUUGCUUCUAACAUACCCAUUGUUCUUGCCAGUCUGAGGCACUCUGCAAGUCCUCUUUUGUGAGUGUCCUUAUAAGGUGUGCUAAGGUGCCAUCCAAUGGGGAGGCGGCUCGUAAAACCCUGAUGCUGUCCCCAUCCGCCUUGUUCUCUGGUACCGUGUGACACCUGGCUCCUCCCCAGAGUCAAAAUGACCUCGAAAGGUGAGCGUUUCGCAUCAGGGCAGGCACACAGUGCGACUGAAGACAAGGACUGAAGAACCGCUUCAGGAAGAGGCAGGAAGGGUGGGUUAAGUGUGUUCGGAGAGCAGAGCAGUAUUCUGAGGGGCACUGACUAACGGCAGUGUGUCUUUUAUUGUGAUGUUUUUUAUUUAAACACACACCGUGUAUUUCAAUCAUACCUUAUACAUGGGAAGGUUCUGCUGCCUAGAUCUUCUCUACCAUCUUUUAAAUGAGGGCAGUAAUAUACACAUCAGGGAGUUAUUGUGAGGACUAAAGAAAACACAACUCACGUACAUGAAAUGGGGUGAUGCCGGGCAGGUAGUAAGUACGUGGAAAACAGCAGGUUUUAUGAGCACGUACAGCACAGAGAUGCCACAUCCCUCAUGCACUCAGUCACUCAGCACCUCUCCUCCCACUACUGCAAACCAUCCUGCCAGCCACCUUGGGCACCGUGUUGUUGGCCCGACGCUCACCUGUGUGCUAAGAUGCCUGCUUCGCGCUGCAGAAUACACGAAACCAUAAGGAAAGCAAGAUAAAUCAAGACUAUACAGAGUGCCUGGAUGUGUACGUGUGUCUUUUGUAUUCAUACAUAACCUUCAACUUCAUUAGUUUUAUUAGUCUGGAGAGUACCUGUACCUACAGCAUUUAAACAAUUCUAUCUUCUAUCUCUCAAAAUUACCACACUGAUGAUGAUAUUUGCUGCAUAAAAAUUUGAGGAUGAAUGGGCAAAACUUUACACACGUCCCCUUGCUACACGAUUUAUGCUGGGGUGGGCAGAAUUUUGCCCCCCUCCACUCACGCCUCUAGGGUUGCAUCAGUGAACAUGUUACGUUUCACGUGAAAAGAGAGGCCACAGAUGUUGUGCAGGUGAUCAAACAGCCGACCUUAAAAUUGGGAGAUUAUUCUACCUUGUUGAGGUGGGCUCAGCGUAAUUACAAGAACACUUAAACACAGAGCUGCUGGGGCGCAAGGUAGGGUGGGGGCUGCUUGGAAAGUGCAGGAGGCCAGAAGAGAAGCCAAGAGAUCAGGAAAUGGGGGUCCAGUCCCGCAACCACAGGAGAUGAACCAUACCAGUGGCCUGAAUGAGCUCCAGGUGGUUCUUUCCCAGUACCGUAAGAUCCAGUGUGCUGAACACUUUGAUACUGGCCUCAUGAUACGCUGAGUGGAGAAUCUAGCCAGGCUGCAUCAGACUUUGGACCUACAGAACCGCGACAAAAACUAUGAAGUAUGUGGUAAUUUGACAUGCAGUAAGAGAAAACUAAACAUAGGCACACAAACUGUUCUUUGAUUUGUAACUGGAGUCAUCAGAGUUAUGAACUUGAUAUUGUUAAUUUAAAAAACAACAUAGCACGUUCCCCACGGCUGCACACAAGCUAUUCCUUCUGGGAAAUGUCUGUGUCUGUGCCACGAUCUCUAACUGGCCUUCUGAUAUCUCCCCUGUUCUUAGUACAAGAGAUUCAUUUCACAUCUUAGAAUAAGUCCUUGGAUAUGCUGCUGGCCAUCAGCGUGGCCAACAAAAGGUGUACAGAUGUUUCAUUGGAAAAGCAAAUCUUUUAGGGUGAAUGAGUGCCUGAAAAUAUAAAACUACUAGAAGAAAAUAUAAGGAAAAAGAUCCAUGACAUUAGUCAAAGCAGUGAUUUACUAUACAUGACCACAAAAGCCCAGGGGAUAAAAGAGAAAAGAAAAAGAUAAAUAGGAUUGCAUGCAUCAAACUAAAAGACUUCUGCCUUUGAGGGAAACAGAGGGAAACAGAGCAAUAGAGUGAAUAGAAUUAUCAUAUCAUCCAGCAAACCCAUUAUUUUGUAUACACCCAAAGAAAUUGGCUAUAAUUAAUAAUAAUGUAUUGCAUAUGUCAAAUACUGUCAAGAGAAGCUGUAAGAGGAUUUUAAGUGGUUUUGCCAUCCAGAAAUGGUAUCUGAGGUGACAGCCAUGCUUGUUAAGCUCUUGUAAUCAUUCCACAACAUAUGUAUGUAUCAAAACAUCACCUUAUUGUUUAAUUGACAUCUCUCUCUAUAUAGAGAGAGAUGCCAAUUAAAAUAAAAUGAAAAAUAAAACUUUAAAAUAUUCCCAAGGAAAGCCUCAUGAAGGAGGAAGCUGUAAUCAUUAGCUAAGAGUUAAAACUGGGUAUUUGCUGUUCAUGCUGUCUUCCCAAUGGCCAAAUCAACUAGCGGUAACAUGUGACAUCCCUGAUUCCAGUAUUUCAAAGGAUGGACCGAAACAUGAGCUACAGGAUACAGAGAAAGACCCACUCCUCCUACCAGAAACAAUGACAAUACAGUCACUGCAAGGAAAGGAUUCUAGAAAUGUUAAAAAUAAAAGUUUCCUGGAAAAAAUCUUGGGAACAGUCGCCUAUUUAAGACAUAUCACUGUGUAAGCAGCACAUAACUUAGAUGUUGACAAAGAUGGACAAAGCUUAUUCCUGAAGAAAGUGGGGGGGAAUCACAGAAAAAUAUUCUGUGCUCAUUCUACCACUUUCCAGAGACAGAAGUAUUGUGAAAUUUUCAGUCAGUUCACUCGUUGUCAGACAAACCAGGAGAGACUCUGAACAGGAAUGUCCUGAACAAAGACAGUGUGCCUUAUUGGUAAUGGGGGAAAAUGUUCAAACAGAGGAAGAAGGAGGGAAAGGAGAGGGAGGAGAGGAGAAAGAGGAGGAGAAAAGACAGGAAGGUAUUAGAGAAAAGCAAAGACACUUUACCAUUUUCAUGAUAAAUCAAACAUACAAAUUUUAAUAGUACUUUGCUAAUAUAUUGUUUUGGAAACAUGUGAAUCUUUUCUCUCCCGUGGUGUUGUUUUAUUGUCAUGUAUGAUUUUAAUUGACUACAUCUGUAGCACUACAUAAAAAUUACUAGAGUAACCCAAGGGCAAAAGGGUAAGAAACCAUUAUGGGGGCACACAAUAUUCAAUGCUCCAUUAAUUGAUAAUUUUGCUUGAAGAAAAGAUUGGCAAAAAGGAGAGGAUUUCCUAGCUCCUUGCUUUUACUUAAAAAUUCCAAACAGUACUCGCUCAAACAAAGAACUUAUGUUUUCCACUGGAAAGACAAAAAGAAAAGCUCCUAGCAGGCCCU
rnacentral:lncRNA from 1 species